rnacentral:lncRNA from 1 species
AAAUAAAUUAUUUUUUAUUUGGAAUAUAAAUGCCUAUUACUUUGUUUUGAUAUUACAGGUUUUGUGCAAAUAUCUGCUGAGUGAACUACUUAUUUGAAAAGACAUCAUUGGUUAAUAUUCCCUUUUGCUCAUUGAAAUCUCAAAGACUACAGGUGUGGUGCAAUUCCAUUAGAUGAAAGAGAUCUACACAUUCAGAAGCACAUGAUUCUUCCCCCUUCCAUGAUUCCAGUGGCCAAUAGAGGUAUAAGGAAGAACCAAGAAACAGUAUUUACUGCAUCCUUUGGCAUUGAUGUUACAGUAUUUCACGAAAGGCCCGAGGAAUUCUAAUUGGAACAGACAAAAACCCAAUACAUGUUUAAGCAGUAAAGUAUUCAUCAGGUCACAAAAAGAGGAGCAAAAGGAGCUGACUCUUUAUGUCAUACCUUGGCCUUAUAAUUUGAUUCUUUGCCAACAUGCACAGUUUUUCUCCAUAGGCUGUGCAUUGGGACAAACUACAAUAAAGCCAUGCCCCGACUGGAUGUGCCUAACAUUUGUCUGGUGCUUAAAGGAGUUGGCUGCAUGCAUGGAAAUGUUGGAAAGUCACCAAAAAUACUUCUCCAAGUCAGAAGCGGUGCAAAAGCUGCCUCAGCUCUUGGUGGAUUUUCAAUUUCUCCCAGCCAUCUCUGUUUCUCUCAGGGUUUCUGAAGACAGUGGGGGAAGCUUUUUUCUCCUCCCCAUCCUAAUCACUAGUAUGAGAAGGGGUGCUAAUGGACCAGCCUUGGCCUUGCAGAUGAAGAUGAUGAAGGAAGAAGACAGGAAGAAAAAAAAACACUGA